rnacentral:rRNA from 1 species
CAGAGCCGCGGUAAUACAGAGGGUGCGAGCGUUAAUCGGAUUUACUGGGCGUAAAGCGUGCGUAGGCGGCUUCUUAAGUCGGAUGUGAAAUCCCUGAGCUUAACUUAGGAAUUGCAUUCGAUACUGGGAAGCUAGAGUAUGGGAGAGGAUGGUAGAAUUCCAGGUGUAGCGGUGAAAUGCGUAGAGAUCUGGAGGAAUACCGAUGGCGAAGGCAGCCAUCUGGCCUAAUACUGACGCUGAGGUACGAAAGCAUGGGGAGCAAACAGGAUUAGAUACCCCUGUAGUCCCUGUCUCUUAUACA